AUUGAACGCUGGCGGCAUGCCUUACACAUGCAAGUCGAACGGUAACAGGUCUUCGGAUGCUGACGAGUGGCGAACGGGUGAGUAAUACAUCGGAACGUGCCUAGUAGUGGGGGGUAACUACUCGAAAGAGUGGCUAAUACCGCAUGAGAUCUACGGAUGAAAGCAGGGGAUCGCAAGACCUUGUGCUACUAGAGCGGCCUGUGGCAGAUUAGGUAGUUGGUGGGAUAAAAGCUUACCAAGCCGACGAUCUGUAGCUGGUCUGAGAGGACGAUCAGCCACACUGGGACUGAGACACGGCCCAGACUCCUACGGGAGGCAGCAGUGGGGAAUUUUGGACAAUGGGCGAAAGCCUGAUCCAGCAAUGCCGCGUGCAGGAAGAAGGCCUUCGGGUUGUAAACUGCUUUUGUACGGAGCGAAAAGGUCCUUUCUAAUACAAGGGGCUCAUGACGGUACCGUAAGAAUAAGCACCGGCUAACUACGUGCCAGCAGCCGCAGUAAAAC
rnacentral:rRNA from 1 species